CAGGCUAUGGUACUGAGUUUAUGUCAUUUUCAAUUAUUCACUCAUUAUUGUAGUAUCAUUCACAAUGAUAUUACAACAAUCAUACUUAUUGAUAUCACCAAUAAGAUUGGACAAUAGUGACAAUCACUUAAAAUGACAUCUUUAAGAUUGAGAACAAGCUCGAUGAUUCCUAAUGUUAAGACUGAAACAGACUUUCAUGUCUUGC
rnacentral:lncRNA from 1 species